rnacentral:rRNA from 1 species
UUGAACGCUGGCGGCAGGCCUAACACAUGCAAGUCGAACGGUAGCACAGAGAGCUUGCUCUUGGGUGACGAGUGGCGGACGGGUGAGUAAUGUCUGGGAAACUGCCCGAUGGAGGGGGAUAACUACUGGAAACGGUAGCUAAUACCGCAUAACGUCUUCGGACCAAAGUGGGGGACCUUCGGGCCUCACACCAUCGGAUGUGCCCAGAUGGGAUUAGCUAGUAGGUGGGGUAAUGGCUCACCUAGGCGACGAUCCCUAGCUGGUCUGAGAGGAUGACCAGCCACACUGGAACUGAGACACGGUCCAGACUCCUACGGGAGGCAGCAGUGGGGAAUAUUGCACAAUGGGCGCAAGCCUGAUGCAGCCAUGCCGCGUGUAUGAAGAAGGCCUUCGGGUUGUAAAGUACUUUCAGCGGGGAGGAAGGCGAUGGAGUUAAUAGCUUCAUCGAUUGACGUUACCCGCAGAAGAAGCACCGGCUAACUCCGUGCCAGCAGCCGCGGUAAUACGGAGGGUGCAAGCGUUAAUCGGAAUUACUGGGCGUAAAGCGCACGCAGGCGGUCUGUCAAGUCGGAUGUGAAAUCCCCGGGCUUAACCUGGGAACUGCAUUCGAAACUGGCAGGCUAGAGUCUUGUAGAGGGGGGUAGAAUUCCAGGUGUAGCGGUGAAAUGCGUAGAGAUCUGGAGGAAUACCGGUGGCGAAGGCGGCCCCCUGGACAAAGACUGACGCUCAGGUGCGAAAGCGUGGGGGAGCAAACAGGAUUAGAUACCCUGGUAGUCCACGCCGUAAACGAUGUCGACUUGGAGGUUGUGCCCUUGAGGCGUGGCUUCCGGAGCUAACGCGUUAAGUCGACCGCCUGGGGAGUACGGCCGCAAGGUUAAAACUCAAAUGAAUUGACGGGGGCCCGCACAAGCGGUGGAGCAUGUGGUUUAAUUCGAUGCAACGCGAAGAACCUUACCUACUCUUGACAUCCAGAGAACUUAGCAGAGAUGCUUUGGUGCCUUCGGGAACUCUGAGACAGGUGCUGCAUGGCUGUCGUCAGCUCGUGUUGUGAAAUGUUGGGUUAAGUCCCGCAACGAGCGCAACCCUUAUCCUUUGUUGCCAGCGGUCCGGCCGGGAACUCAAAGGAGACUGCCAGUGAUAAACUGGAGGAAGGUGGGGAUGACGUCAAGUCAUCAUGGCCCUUACGAGUAGGGCUACACACGUGCUACAAUGGCGCAUACAAAGAGAAGCGACCUCGCGAGAGCAAGCGGACCUCAUAAAGUGCGUCGUAGUCCGGAUUGGAGUCUGCAACUCGACUCCAUGAAGUCGGAAUCGCUAGUAAUCGUAGAUCAGAAUGCUACGGUGAAUACGUUCCCGGGCCUUGUACACACCGC